UACGGGGGGGGGCAAGCGUUGUUCGGAAUUACUGGGCGUAACGGGCUCGUAGGCGGCCAACUAAGUCCGACGUGAAAUCCCAAGGCUUAACCUUGGAACUGCGUCGGAUACUGGAUGGCUUGAAUUCGGGAGAGGGAUGCAGAAUUCCAGGUGUAGCGGUGAAAUGCGUAGAUAUCUGGAGGAAUACCGGUGGCGAAGGCGGCAUCCUGGACCGACAUUGACGCUGAGGAGCGAAAGCUAGGGGAGCAAACGGG
rnacentral:rRNA from 1 species